ensembl:lncRNA
AAAUAUUUCCUAUACAAAAUAAUCUGUCAAAGGAUAAUAGACCCGCUGUUGUUUUCUUUUACAGUAAUUCUCCUAGACUCAUGCUGCUGCUGAACUUCUAGAGCAGUCACAUAUCAAAUGGCUAUAUAUGAGAAAAAGGAAGGAAUUUCAGAUCAUCCUGUAGCCCUCUCCUCCAGAGAACUGAGGAAGUGGAAAUGGCCUUCAGCUGGUCCAGGGAGGACAUGUCUCCUCCACCUGGACACUCCUCAUCGGCAACAUGGUAGAGUGGGAGGAUCCCAAGGCACAUCUGUGCCUCCUGUGAUGAUUCAUCAUCUCCAGUGCAUUUGUCUACUCUCCAUGUGGCAGGGGGAAAGUCUCCUGUCAUCAGUUACUUUCUUCAGAACUGGCACAGUGUACAGAGUAGAUUUCUCCUUCAAUAAAUAACACUGUAGUCAUUAAAGAUCAUCACUUCUCCAUGCAGUCAACAACAAUUUGAAUGUGGAAACCUUCAUGACAGCCCUCCCUGCCACAGGAAAGGAAAUAUCUUUGGUCAGUGUCUCAUCCCUUCAAGGUCUCUAUUCCUGGUCUUGAAAUAAUAUUUAUAGCCCCAUUUUUCUUGUCAGUGCCAUUCUCUCUUCACAAGAAGGAGCCAGUUCAGAGUAAUCAUUACCACCAUGUUUUAUGCAGGAGUCCACAUCUAAUAGCAAAUACUCCUUCUGGGCCAAGUUGAUGAGAGCAGUGUCGUGCAGCACUUCUGCUGUCUCUGCCUAGCUCAUUCAGCCUGGCCUAUUGGUCUCCUCUUAUAUUUUUAUUUCAGUUUCUGUAUUACUAUUCCAGAAAUGGAUAUGUUUCAAGUAAUCUGACAGGUUCUCUCCCCUUCCUGACUAUUUUAUUAUUUUCAGUGAAAUGUAUUUUGUACAGCUUCUUUUGCUCAUCAUCAUAAAAACCAAAGAAGUAGAUUUUUUCUGGCAAGUGAAAAAAGUCUGACAAUUCUGUAUUCAGGACUGAAUGCAAGUUAAAUGACACUGUACUGAUCCACUAUGAAAACAAACAAAGUUCACAAACCAGCCCCCAAAAUCUGAUAUUUCAUAGUUUCAGAGGGGCUUUCCUAACAACUGGGCUGCAGCUGAUGGUACAGUGCAUCACUUUUAACUUCAGUAAAAAGCUUUUGUUAUACUUCCAGAUAAACAAAUGUACAACUCCUUAUUUACUAGUGGCAAAAGACUUUCUGUAUUUUCAUUCCCAUGCAGAACCUUAUUUGGAUAGUGUACACCUGAUGAACUUGAAGCACUUGUGAGGCAUAUUGGUACUGAAUUUAUAAAGUUUUUAUUUUGAGGAGUGUUUCUGCAUAAUAUUUAUGUUAAGCCUGAAGUUACAUGGCUGAAGGCAAACUAUUUGGGAGACUACAAAUCACCUAACCACAGUCCACAGGAAUGAAAAAGGAGUAGUCCCAGAGACCUUUUUAUCUAUCACAUAAGAAACUUGGAAAGAUAGAGGUAACAUGGAAAAUAUGAAUAGUUAUGAAUAUUUUUUACAAUAUGGUUCCCCAUCAUCAUCCUCAUUCCCACCCUUACAGCCAAGGAUGGCUCAUUGGUUUGGUGACAUCUAUGAUCUUUGCCCCUCUGUGUUGAUGAAAACUCUUGCCUAAUACUACAAAGAAAUAAAGUUGAAUUGAGGUAUAUUUUGAAGUUAAUU